rnacentral:misc_RNA from 1 species
GGCUCCGUGCUCGUCCACCGAACGGUCGGCAGGCAAUCCGUGUCACGUGAUGUGGGGUGGGAAGGUGCCUCAGAGGCUGGUUCUUGUGUUGCCUACCCCCUCAAGGGAAGCAGGCCACUCGACGGUUAGCCUCCAUCCGGCGCCUCCCGAUGGGCGCAGGUGGACAACGAUGCGCCCCCCGUGUUCCAACGAGCCUUCAUCGGUCGCGUGGCCCACGGGGGCGCGCAAUUCUCUCGGACCCAGUGCACGUCGUGGACGAGGACUCUGUCCAAGUCCUAAGAGAAGCUUCGAUACGAUGUAUGACGGCCGCGCUCGCCCCUUGGCCGCCCCGGCGGUGCAAGGGCGGCGCGCGACGUCGCGAGGACUGCUACCUGGUUGAUCCUGCCAGUAGUCAUAUGCUUGUCUC